rnacentral:piRNA from 1 species
UACCAUUUCUGAUGCUGUCUGUGCUGUUU